rnacentral:rRNA from 1 species
ACAGCAGUCGCCGCGGGAAUACAGAGGGUGCGAGCGUUAAUCGGAUUUACUGGGCGUAAAGCGUGCGUAGGCGGCUUUUUAAGUCGGAUGUGAAAUCCCUGAGCUUAACUUAGGAAUUGCAUUCGAUACUGGGAAGCUAGAGUAUGGGAGAGGAUGGUAGAAUUCCAGGUGUAGCGGUGAAAUGCGUAGAGAUCUGGAGGAAUACCGAUGGCGAAGGCAGCCAUCUGGCCUAAUACUGACGCUGAGGUACGAAAGCAUGGGGAGCAAACAGGAUUAGAUACCCCCGUAGUCCCUGUCUCUUAUAA